rnacentral:rRNA from 1 species
AUUUUUGACAAUGGGGGAAACCCUGAUCCAGCCAUCCCGCGUAUAUGAUGAAGGCCUUCGGGUUGUAAAGUACUUUUGGCUGAGAAGAAAAGGUACCUCCUAAUACGAAGUACUGCUGACGGUAUCUGCAGAAUAAGCACCGGCCAACCACGUUCCAGCAGCCGCGGUAAGACGUAGGGUGCAAGCGUUAGUCGGAAUCACUGGGCGUAAAGCGUGUGUAGGCGGUUCGGAAAGAAAGAUGUGAGAUCCCAGGGCUCAACCUUGGAAGUGCAUUUUUAACUGUCGAGCUAGAGUAUGUCAGAGGGGGGUAGAAUUCCACGUGUAGCAGUGAAAUGCGUAGAUAUGUGGAGGAAUACCGAUGGCGAAGGCAGCCCCCUGGGAUAAUACUGACGCUCAGACACGAAAGCGUGGGGAGCAAACAG